CCGACCGUGAGGGGAGCGCUGAAAGCAGCGGGGAGCGAACUCGCGAGCCGAGGAACACGAACCGGAUAUGAGGCGGUGCCGAGCAGGGCGAGCGGACAGCAAGCCGCGAAGCUCUCACGACCAAGGCUCAGGCGACGUAAAUCCGGCGGCGGUGCGGGGACGGCCACCCAU
rfam:Gemmatimonadetes bacterium RBG_16_66_8 RBG_16_scaffold_35444, whole genome shotgun sequence.